rnacentral:misc_RNA from 1 species
GUAUUGAUUGCGUGUGACCGCAAAAUAAGAAAAGAACAUUCUAUACUGUAUCAAGUUUUAUGUGAAAACGCGAGCCCUCCCGCAAAGGGGGACCCACGCGGUGAUGCACAAAAGGGGUGAGAUGGAUUGUGUGAGAACGCUCGGGCGUGCACAACCUUUGAAGGUCAGCGACAGCCCUUGCGCCUCGGUUGUACGAUAAUGAUCCUUCCGCAGGUUCACCUACGGAAA